CUGGCAGGGGAAAGAUUCCUUGGAGAAACAGUUUACUAGUCUGUUGGGGGAUGGCAGCUACCAAAGAAGCUGGAGGUGGGUGAUCUGUGCUCCUGUGGACAUUUUUGGAUCAUCCUACAAGGAGCCCUCAGAAGCAGGAAGGGGAUAAGAGGUUUUCAAUACCCUUAGGUGGACUAAGGGACAAUAUUGGGAGCUCCAGCCAUUCUCUGGACCAUCUAGGACUCCUCAUCAUCCAGCCUCUCCUUGCCAAAAGACUCUAUAUGGGAAGAAAGCGAGACUCAGAAAGGCACAGCAACUUGCCCAUGGUACCCAAUGAGGGUCAGAGACAAGAGGAAGAAAAAGAAACAAGAAUUUAUUCAUCACCUGCUCUGUGCCAGUUUAUUGGAGCUCAUGAUUUUGUUCAGAUCUCUGAAAUCAAUGUAGGCUGCUAUUAAGAACAAAAGAAUGUCCAGCUUUCAAAAAACAAUUUCUUCAAUGGAUGGAACAUUGUUGG
rnacentral:lncRNA from 1 species